rnacentral:rRNA from 1 species
AAUGAACGCUGGCGGCAUGCCUAACACAUGCAAGUCGAACGAAGGCUUCGGCCUUAGUGGCGCACGGGUGCGUAACGCGUGGGAAUCUGCCCCUUGGUUCGGAAUAACAGUUAGACAUGACUGCUAAUACCGGAUGAGGACGUAAGUCCAAAGAUUUAUCGCCGAGGGAUGAGCUCGCGUAGGAUUAGCUAGUUGGUGUGGUAAGAGCGCACCAAGGCGACGAUUCUCAGCUGGUCAGAGAGGAUGAUCAGCCACACUGGGACUGAGGCACGGCACAGACUCCUACGGGUGGCAGCAGUGGGGAAUAUUGGACAAUGGGCGCAAGCCUGAUCCAGCAAUGCCGCGUGAGUGAUGAAGGCCUUGGGGUUGUAAAGCUCUUUUACCCGGGAUGAUAAUGACGGUACCGGGAGAAUAAGCUCCGGCUAACUCCGUG